rnacentral:lncRNA from 1 species
UCUAAAUGUAGCGUGAAGUUGGAAUGAAGAUGCUUUUAAAGCGAUCGAAGCGCCACUAGCGAUCGCUCGUAUAAAUAAAAGAGAACCUAUCUUCUCGCAAAUUUGUUACAUGUCCUGUAAUAUUUAACACGUUUCGAUGGGAUAUUUAUAAGGUUAAAAGUGUGUUGGAGAUGUAGUGUGAUGUUGAUCAGACGUGUUUGUGCAAAUAGUUUCAUAAGUACGUGGAAAUUUGAAGGUAAAUUUAUAGAGUUUGGCUCUUUGAUGAUCGUUAAUUAUCCAUAUUUUAAAUUCAUUUUAUUUUCUAAAUUUAAGUAAAAAUAUGUAAUCUAGCGUUAGAUUACGUUCAGAAUUAACGUGGUUGCAAUAAUGUGGAAAAAACGAAAAAGAUCUUUCCUUGUCGAAAAUUUAUUACACAUCCUAUAAUAUUCGCUUGAUAUUUAUGAGGUAUGUGACAAAUUUAUCAGCAAUCUGUACCAGGAAUGAGGUGCGUAAAUUUCACCAAAUCCCCAUCAAUACUCCGUUGACACGUUAGCCGAAAGGGAGAAUCAAGUAUUUCCGUAGCAAACUUAAUUAAUUUAAGUGAAUACGCAAUUUGGAAAUUAAUUAACGUUAAAGAGGAAUCGUAUGUAGUUUCCAUGAUAAAAACGAGAUCUGCGUGUUCACUAAAAAGAAGUGCUAUUUGUCAAUAUAUUAGGCACACUGCAUGACAGAAAAGGAUAAUGAGGUUCGCUUCAUGAUUAAAAGAAUUCGAAAAAAUGGAGGUUAGGCAGAGAGAUAGGACGUAGAUGGACAAUCAAACCAAUUUUUCAAAUUUUAUCCUCCCAUUCUUUGGUUGUCGCCUGAUGAUAUCUACCGAUCGAUGUUAAUUAACAUUUGUACGUCUGAAUCGGAGAUAAACGAGCAAGCACCACGAGAAUGAAUUCAAUUAAUUCUCGGACGUUGUCCGGUGUUAAUUAAUGAAUCGGCCACGUGACGAAUGGAAAAUGCAUUUAGAAGAAAGAAAAAAUGGAAUAUUUCAUGGAAUAAGUGUGGACCAACAUAUACACAAUUCGACGGCGAUAAAUGAAUAAAUUGGGGAUGAAUAUUUUAAGAAUAUUUAAAAGUGUCUCUUGUUCUAUAUAGUUUUGAAACGAGAGAAUUGAAAGGAAAAUCAUAGAAAGCAGACAAUAUUAUGAAAUUGAAGAAUAACAAAUGGAAGUUUCAUUACUUUUAUCCAUAAUCAAGAAAGAAGAUUUCAAUCAUUAAAAGAUUCUUUUGAAGUUCUUUUCAAAUUCGUCUCAAAUAUCAUAUAAAUUUCAUCAUCAAAUAAAUUUCUAAUUCCAAAGAAGAGUCAAGAAUAUAAUUCAAUAUGACACGAAGUAAACAUAGAUGAAUUGAUUUUCUAUUUGGAUGCUGCAAAUAAAUUUCCAAUAAUUUCAAAAAAUAACCAAGAAUGAUAAAACGUAAGUGAGUUAACUUUGGCUUGAAAGAAAUCAAAACAAAGAUUAUUGCAAAUAAUACCAAAAAAGAAUUAUAAAUAAUGGAGCUGACUUUCGGUUUGGAAGAAAUUGAAGACGAAGAUUAUCCAUUGUCGCGCGAUGCUUGCGAUAAUUGGAGAAAAGAAACGAGAAUAAAAUGGAAUGUAGAUGGGUUGACUUUCGUGUUGGAAAAAAAUCGAUCGAUCGGAAAUUCCCGGAAGCGGAAACUCGUUCCACGCGCGAGCUCGCGGUACGGCUCGACAAUUAACUCUCUGCCGGAUUUUCCACCAAUUUCCUGGCUGAAUUAAUCACCGCUGGCCGGUAUCAACGCUCGAAAUUUGGAGCGGCGCCGGUUAAACGCGAUCCGGAGACGUAAUUGCAACGAGCCGGAUAGAUUAUGCGACUGUUCUGUACGCUGGCCACCUUUAUUAUACCAUUCCCCUCGUCUCUUCACAUCGAUCUCCUCCACUUUCCAAUCCAAUUAAUCAAAAAUUUUCUUCGCCUCCCUUCUCUCACUCUCUUUCCUUCCUUCUUAUGGACUUUUCAGCAAUUUUGAAAGGAAGUGGAAAGAAGAAAUGAACGCAGUGGAGAAACUGAAGCUAUGAUUCGAAGAGCUUGUUGCUUCUCUCCUUGAGGAAUUUUUGAAAAAGUUGGUAAAAGGUAUGAAGUAUUCUUAAUCUCGAAAGUUUCGUCCAAUCUCGUUAUUAAACUUAAAUUUUAAUUUUUAUAAACAGGAGGAUCCAUCGACUUUUAUCCAUGAAAUUUCAUCACCGAGCCAAUGAAUGGAUUCAUCCCCAUAUCAAAAGAGCGAUCCACUUGAUCCAAUGUUUGGUGUAAUUCACGUAUAUUUAUCUUCGACUUCGCUCGACAAAUCCACUUUUCUACAAAUUUUAAUUGUCUCCGGAAAGAAAAGGAAAAUUCCAAACUAAAAACUUCUCGCGAGUUGGAAAAAGUUUGUUCGAUCCUCGAGAGAUUCGAUUUCUCUCGUACCAGGUUUCCACGGGGGAAAAAUCGGAAAAUUACUCGAGAGUCCAGUGAUUCUCGACCACCUUGGCUCGGAUCUUUAAUUCCACUCCUGUUAAUAAUGCAAAUGUCGUAGUCGAACUUGGAAUUUCAUUAUCCGGCGAGAUACUUUGUUUCGUUGCGUGAAAACGAGAGAAGGAGCGGAAGAGAAAUAAAAGAUUAGAAUUUAAUCAGAAUUCUUCGAUCGUCGUGUGGAAAAAUUGUGAUUUUGCAUUAUGUUCAAAUCUUCCUUCGAUUAUCGAUAAAGCGGAGAAACGAAAUUGUUAUUCGUCGAUUUGGUUGUAUCAUAGUUGGAAAAUUGUUAUGUAAAUUUAUUCUAUUGGAUACGAAAUACGUAAUGUUUAUAUGUUAUUGAUUCUAGCGAUAGAAACAAACACAAAAGAUAUAUUAGUAUAUAGAAAUAUUGUGAGGCUUUAUCGAGUUAAGAGAAAGGUAUCUAUGUUUCAUCAUAUACAUUUUCUAGACCCCACUUUUCGAAAAUGUUCAAUAUCUUAUGUACACUAUUAUCUCGAUGAAAAAUUCGUUAUUUAUUCAAAAGAUUGCAAGAUAUUUACUAAAAGAAUAAUUAGUUACACGAUUUAAUAGAAAAAAAAUUGCAAUAAUAAUCGAUAUUAAAGACCACUCCACGAAUUUUCCAUCCAUCAAUGGUAAUCUAAAUUGUUAAUUGAUUAACAAUUGUCACACUUUCGAUAAAUCUAUUGCGAACUCGUCGAAUUGGAAAUUUAAAUUAUUCAUAAAAUGCAAAUGGCAACAAGUUUCUUCGAAGCUCCCUCUGUUGAGAACUUAAGCCGGACGAGAUCCAACGUGCGAGCUUAAGCGAUCUUAACUGGUCGCCAUUGUGCUGUUACGAAUCCAAUAUGGCGUCGGUACGUAUAUAACCUUGGCGUAUUCCACGGGUUGGACCAGUGAUGAACCAGGGUCCACUCCAGAACGGGAGUUACGACAUCCGUAAACUAUUCCUCGACUUAGUCAUUAUGGGGGGGUUAGAUUAUUCCAAGUUCUAAGCCGAGUUGAGUUCUAAAUUCACGAUGGCGAUAUUCCUCGACCAUAACCCGGCAUGUUUAACUUGCGAUAAGCCUGCAUUAUGCCGAAGCAAAGUUGCUUUAAGCGCCAUUAUGCUUGGAAUUUAGAUUACAGCUUGGCCAAUUUAGGUUAUGAAGCAAUUUACCAAAAAUUACACAGACGAAAAUUGUGAGGGAUUUUUGGAUUUUUUUUUCCGAAAUUCAAGAGAAUUAGAAGAGAAUUGGAUGCGAUAUUGCGAGAUACUUUCAAUUUAAAAGAUUGAAAUGAGAAAUUUCAGAGAUUGUUUUGUAAUACGAGAAUAUAGGGACAGAACU